AACGUCGAAGAGACCGCGUGUUUCGGGUCCUUCUCUCUUUCAAAACUCUUUCUUGUGAAAAAAAAUCCUAUCUCUACUCAUCUUGAAGCAAAAUAAGAGUUCUCAGUUCAGUGUUAUUUGUGUAUUUUUUUAAUAUUAUUUUUUCAAAACGUUUGAAUCGUGUCUCCUUUUGUUAUGUAAUACGUCUGUGAAACUUCAGCCGAACUGUUGUAAAAGCUGAAAAAUAAUACAAAAACAUCGAUUUAGUCUGGUCUGUGAUAAAAAAGAGAGAUCUCAUAAACAAUACCUUUUUUGUUGACGUUUAAAAAAAAGCAUAUUUCGCGUGUUAUCUGUUGCGAUUGUUAAAUUGAAAAAAAAAAUAACGUUCGAUGUUGGGUUCUCAAUUUAAAAAUGACGUCCCAAGAAGCGUCGACAAUGACGAAGAACUUUUUGACGGUGACCAACAUUGUGAACGAAGGGAUCAAAGGGAGCAAGAUAUCUAAACUUGGCUUGUCCAAGUACCUGUCUCAGUCUCUGUAAGU